UGACAUUAAAAUAAUAUAACAACAUUUAUUUAAACAAAUCACACACAAAUCUCAAAUAGUAUAGAAUUUCAGAGUUUACAUAAUCAAGAGAUAUCACAUGAAAUAACAUAAUAUGUUUUAAGAAACAUUUAUCUUUAAAUAGAUUCGACGCGCCCAUUCGACUCUCCACGCGCCUCCGAUAUCAAUCACCUGAAACUGUUGAAUAUGGGAUGAGCAUACAGGGUACACUCAGUGUGGGAACAUGCAAUAAUUGUCCAUGUUAAUAAAAUGGUAACACAUAUUGUCAUAACGUAACAUAACUUCCAUACGCACUGUGGCAACUCCAAGGACUUUAAUGUCCCGGACCCUAUAUGUGGGCCCCUGGCGACAAUAUAAUGGUUGCAACCCUGUAACAUGAAAUCGCAUUGUGGCAUACCAAGGACGGUGAAGUCCUGGACCAAUUAUGCUGGCCCCUAGCGAUAAAUAUUUUUACAACACAUACGGUAAACACAUAAUAUUAAAAUGGACAAAUAUUAACCACGUGCAUGUACUGAAAUAAAUCCCACACCUGGAAAUUUAACUUGAACUUGAACUUCAACUUGAAUGCUAACUUGAGUAAUACAAUUAAAAUUCAUAUCCUAGUCGCGCCGCACCUAGUCAGAUAAAUUUAAAUAAUAAGACAUGAGGGCCUAAUUAAACUUUAGAAAAUAAUUUAGAUUAUAGGAUCAUAUAAAAAUAAUUGAUCUAAUAAAUUUAAGUAGUAAAAUAUAUUUUCUCAUGAAAAUUUGGAUUAAGAAAUGAUUUAAUAAUUUAAAUAAUAAGAUAUAAUUUCUUAUGAAAAUUUUGAUUAGUAAAAUAAUUUAAGGAUAAAUCCAACUUAAUUAAAAGAAAUAUGUAGCUCAAAAUAAUUAAAAUUAAACCCAAUUACUUAGGUGAAAGUGAGCCCAUGAGGUAAUUAAAAAUUAAACCCAACUAUUUAAAUAAAAUCAGCCCAUUAAAAAUCCCCCUUUGGCCCAAGCCCACUCUUCCAACUCCCCUAAUCUAACUUUCAUCCAACACACACAUACACACUCAGACACUCACACGCAGCUCACCCUCUCUCCCUCUCCUCUUCUCUCCCUCGGUCUCCCCCUUCCGCCGCCACCAGGCGGCACGCCACCGCCCCGUCGGCCGGCGGUUCUGCCUCCUUUCCCUUCCCCCUUCUUCCUAUCUCCUUCUCACCCCUCACUUCUCGCCCUCUUCCUCCUCCCCUGCCCUUGUCCUCACCGCACCAGCCGCACCUGCGCCCCUCUUCUCCGGCGACCCCUGCCGCCACCGUCUCCUGCCCGGCGUCGCCUUCACCGUCUAUUUCUCUCCUGGCCAACAGCAGCACCACCAUCGCCGCCCCUGCGUCGACAGCGGCGCCGCCCAGCCGCCUCCUUCCUCUGUCCGACCAGAACGCCGAGACCUAGCGCCGCUGCCCCUGUCUCCACCUCCGUCGGAUCCGGCGGUAUUGCUGCUCAACCGUUUCCCCUCCCUUCUAUCUCCUGUCUAAAUUCUAAGCUACUAUUUCUCUUUCAAUCUAUUGUAUUUUCUUUUCAGCAAAACAAUGAAUAUUGGAGAUUUGAUUUUUUUAAGAAUUGAGGUGUCUAUAUGCACUUGUGUUUUUGCAUAUGAAAAUGAAAUUAAAUCAUGAAAACUUUGCGGAAAAAUAAAGUUUACCAGUUGAAAUUGUGCAGUUGAAGAAAACCGGAUGGAUUAUAAAAGUUGAGUUUUUUGUUGGAUUUGUGAAUUUGAGGAUGAGUUGAUUUGUGAAUUUGAGGAUGAUAAAUGAGGUUUAAAUAGAUUGAAUUUACUUGUUUGAACAUAAACGUGUGAAAGAAAGAAAUCAUUCAAAGUUUUGCUGCUUCAAAGUUUGCUGCUUCAAAAUUUGCUGCUGUGGAAAUCAAAUUUGGCUUGCUGAUCAAAGUUUGCUUUUGAAUCUUCUGUUUGCUUUUGAAUUGAAGAUGUUGGGG
rnacentral:lncRNA from 1 species